AUACGUAGGGUGCAAGCGUUAAUCGGAAUUACUGGGCGUAAAGCGUGCGCAGGCGGUUUUGUAAGACAGAGGUGAAAUCCCCGGGCUCAACCUGGGAACUGCCUUUGUGACUGCAAGGCUAGAGUACGGCAGAGGGGGAUGGAAUUCCGCGUGUAGCAGUGAAAUGCGUAGAUAUGCGGAGGAACACCGAUGGCGAAGGCAAUCCCCUGGGCUUGUACUGACGCUCAUGCCCGAAAGCGUGGGGAGCAAACAGGAUUAGAUACCCUGGUAGUCCACGCCCUAACCGAUGUCAACUGGUGGUUGGGUCUUCAUUGACUCAGUAACGAAGCUAACGCGUGAAGUUGACCGCCUGGGGAGUACGGCCGCAAGGUUGAAACUCAAAUGAAUUGACGGGG
rnacentral:rRNA from 1 species